ACGGAAGGCAGCAGUGGGGGAUAUUGCACAAUGGGGGAAACCCUGAUGCAGCGACGCCGCGUGAGUGAUGAAGUAUUUCGGUAUGUAAAGCUCUAUCAGCAGGAAAGAUAAUGACGGUACCUGACUAAGAAGCACCGGCUAAAUACGUGCCAGCAGCCGCGGUAAUACGUAUGGUGCAAGCGUUAUCCGGAUUUACUGGGUGUAAAGGGAGCGCAGACGGUUUUGCAAGUCAGAAGUGAAAUACCCGGGCCCAACCCGGGAACUGCUUUUGAAACUGUAGGACUUGAGUGCCAGAGAGGUAAGCGGAAUUCCUAGUGUAGCGGUGAAAUGCGUAGAUAUUAGGAGGAACACCAGUGGCGAAGGCGGCUUACUGGCCGGUAACUGACGUUGAGGCUCGAAAGCGUGGGUAGCAAACAGGAUUAGAUACCCUGGUA
rnacentral:rRNA from 1 species